rnacentral:lncRNA from 1 species
CUUUCUCUCGUCUUCGUUCAUUCUUGGAAUUGAAACAUUUUUUUAUAAAGAAAUUGAAACAUUUUUAAGUGUUCGUAUGUGAAACAAACACCGCCAAUUCCUUCUUCACUCGGUCUCAACUGUCAAUAGUGGUCAGCCCAAACUUGAUGGGGCUAUGAACUAGCUUAGGACAAAACAAAAUUAGAUUAAAUUUCUGAUCACGGUUUUUUAAGUACAAAGAUUUAUAA